rnacentral:rRNA from 1 species
CCUACGGGAGGCAGCAGUGAGGAAUAUUGGUCAAUGGGCGCGAGCCUGAACCAGCCAAGUAGCGUGAAGGAUGACUGCCCUACGGGUUGUAAACUUCUUUUAUAAAGGAAUAAAGUGAGGCACGGGUGCCUUUCUGUAUGUACUUUAUGAAUAAGGAUCGGCGAACUCCACGCCAGCAGCAGCGGUAAUACGGUGGAUACGAGCGUUAUCCGGAUUUAUUGGGUUUAAAGGGAGCGUAGAUGGGUGGUUAAGUCAGUUGUGAAAGUUUGCGGCUCAACCGUAAAAUUGCAAUUGAUACUGGCAGCCUUGAGUACAUUUGAGGUAGGCGGAAUUCGUGGUGUAGCGGUGAAAUGCUUAGAUAUGACGAAGAACUCCGAUUGCGAAGGCAGCCUACUAAGCUGCCACUGACAUUGAUGCUCGAAAGUGUGGGUAUCAAACAGGAUUAGAUACCCCAGUAGUC